AAAUCAGGCAGGACUACCCGCUGAACUUAAGCAUAUCAAUAAGCGGAGGAAAAGAAACUAACAAGGAUUCCCCUAGUAACUGCGAGUGAACCGGGAAAAGCUCAAAUUUUGAAUCCGGCGGUCUCCGGCCGCCCGAGUUGUAAUCUAGAGAAGCGUCUUCCGCGCUGGACCGUGUACAAGUCUCCUGGAAGGGAGCAUCGUAGAGGGUGACAAUCCCGUCUCCGACACGGACUACCAGGGCUAUGUGAUGCGCUCUCGACGAGUCGAGUUGUUUGGGAAUGCAGCUCAAAUCGGGUGGUAAACUCCAUCUAAAGCUAAAUACAGGCGAGAGACCGAUAGCGAACAAGUACCGUGAGGGAAAGAAUGAAAAAGA
rnacentral:rRNA from 1 species